UGUUUGGGUGUCCUUAGUAAUUUGGGCACACCUUGUUUGAAGAUGGAAUCAUGUUGGGUGUCCAUAGUAAAUUCCAUCGAAUUACUAUGUGACGAAAUUAUUAAGUAGAGAAAAGAAAUUAUAUAUAUUGGGUGGUCUUAGUAAAUUUGGAUGCACCUAAAAGUAUUUGGAUUUAAGUCGAUGUUUGAUUUGUUUCGACAUAGUCGUAAUUGGUCGAUAUCGUAAUUUCAAGUAAAGGUUCGGUAAUUUGGGUUAAUUAUCGAACAAGUCUCGAUUGGUCAAAGUUGGUCAACUCCUGGUCAAACUAGGAAAAGUUGGUUGUACGAUUUGUUAAUCGUCGAGAUUUCAGUUAUUAAUUCAAUGCGAUAUUAACUAUCGAAAUGGCGGAACUUAGGACUCCAGCUACCCAAGGAACGGAAGGUUCGUGAUCUCCGAACAACGUGAGAUGGUAAAGCUUCGAAAUCCAGAUUGUUGAUGGUGGUGUGUGAGAGCGGAAAGGUGGUCGAUGACUUCCUUGGGGAUUAGCCACCCCUAAACCUCCGGAGGGUUAGCUACACCGGUCGGACGGUGCGCAAUCGCAAUGAUGACACGGUUCCGUGUGUGUAGCUAGUGUGUUAAGUUUGGCGCUCUGUGACUGGUAAGGUCAGAUGUUGGUUCUACGGAACCAGGCCAUCAGGUAAAGCGCACGUAGUUUUCUAAUCAUGCAUCGAGUAUUUAAGUUUGUCGUUCUUAUAUAUAUAUUUGCUUUGUUUUCACACUGGGCCCAAAUCCAAAUGAUUACAAAGUUGAGUUGAUUUUCAAACCUAGUCGUGGUAGAGUUUCCUGCCGAGCAGCGAGGACGAAAGCUCACCCCUACAACAGUUUGGAUGCAGGUAUUGUGCACUGGUGACGGGACAAAAGCGGACGGAGUUGGGUGUGCGGAAUAAGUCCGGUAAACCAUUGUUUGGACUUUGUUCUACAUUCUUUUUCUCAAACUUCGUGUUCCGAAAGUUGUUGAUAGUUAGCUUGCUCAUUCCUUAAAGUUCGUAUCCUUCGUGUGAACAUUCAUUCAAGUUCUGGACGAAUGAAAUAGAUUUCAACAACUCAAGUUUUUCA